GCUGUUACCCCAGGUGUGUCACCUGCCCCAGAUGCACCCCAGCUGAGUCCCAGGUGUCCCCAGGUGAGGUGACACCUGUCCCAGGUGUGUCCCAGGUGUGUCACCCACCCCAGGUGUGUCACCUGAGCCAGGUGUGACAUCUGCCCUAGGUGGGGUGUCACCUGCCCCAGGUGUGUCCCAGGUGUGUCACCUAAGCCAGGUGAGGUGUCACCUGUCCCAGGUGCGUCCCAGGUGGUCACAGGUGAGGUGCCACCUGCCCCAGGUGUGUCCCAGGUGCGUCACCCACCCCAGGUGGUCACAGGAAGUAGUCGGCCACGGGUUUCUUGGCGGGGAUGCCGCGCGCCCCAGGUGUGACCCCUGAGCCAGGUGAGGUGACACCUGCCCCAGGUGAGGUGUCACCUGUCCCAGGUGUGUCCCAGGUGUGUCACCUGAGCCAGGUGAGGUGUCACCCACCCCAGGAGGUCACAGGAAGUAG